ensembl:lncRNA uncharacterized LOC106509807
AGUCAGAUCUGUUCUUCUCUGUUACAAGCUGUUUUAUAUUAGUGAACAUUUUUUAAAUGUGCUUUUUUUGGGCUUCCUCCUGCCCUAUUUUGGUUCCUGUCUCCAUGUUUCUCAUGAAGUGUUUCAGUUCCUCAGCCACACGUUCUCUUGGCAUAGUUUUCGGGAACAUAAAUUUCAAGAUUGGCAAAGGGAUACUGUACCUUACCCAUUCCAUCUGAACAUUAUUACGAUGCCACAAAAUCACCUAUUUUCAUAAUAAAAUAUACCAUGCUUCUUUUUAUUAAUAAUUGAAAAUGAACAGAAAUAUUGUUAUUUGUUUGAGAAGGGCUCCAUUGUUUUUCUUUAGAAUGUUAAUUUCCUGCUUUGCAUUUCCUUCCUCAUAGAUAAAUGCAGAGAACAUGUCUCUUCUUGGGAAAAGUGGGCAUUCUUGAAGAAGUAAAAGAUUGACCUCAUUGUAUACAUUUAAUAAAUACUAUUUUUUUCCAAAGUAUGGUUAAUGACAGGUUGGAUAAUCUCUUGAUUUGGGAACUGAGUUCUACUACAUUUAAUACAAUCCCAAAUGACUAAGACGUGAACCAGAGAACACUGAGUCUGGAGGUUCGCAGUUUCUGGUAUCAUUUCUGUGGCUCAAAAGUGUGAGGGUCAAAGUUUCUCCGUUGUUUCUUACCAUCAUGAUUAUAACAUGGAUAACUGUGGAUCUAACCAUCACAUUCAAAUUCCAGGAAGGAAGCGGGAAAGAGAAAAGGCAAAGUCCAAGAGGCCAAGCCAGCCAAAUCUUUCCCUUUAAAGGGACUUUCCUAAAAAUCCUGCUUCUCUCUGGCCAGGAUGGUAUCACACAACCUCCUAGCUGCAAGGAAAUUGGGAAAUAUAUUUGUUUGUUUUUUUCAGCUGGGUAUAUUGCCACUUCCAGCAAAAGUAGGAAGGAAGAAAGGGAAAAUAGUUACUGAUCAAAAAAUUGGCACUCUGUACCCCUCCUUUUUAUUUAAUUUUUUGGCCUUUCCACAGCAUAUGGAAGUUCCCAGGCCACGGACUGAAUCUGAGCCACAGCUGUGAUGCUUCAGCUGUGGCAACACCGAAUCCUUAACCCACUGUGUCAGGCCAGGAAUCAAACCUGCAUGCCAGCACUCCAGGGACACUGCCGAUCCUGUUGCACCACAGAGAGAGCUCCACCACAACCUUUUCUUGGAAAAAUAUCAUCUUAUUUCAAGAUCAUGUCUGCAAGCUGAUGGUUGCUUUUUAAUUAUAAGAAUAAUAAAUGGGGCCUUCACAAAAUGGCCCCACCGCUGCUUUCAGUCCCUAGUGGACUGAGUUGUAAUUGCUGGUUGAAUUAUUCUGCUAUUACUAAAGCAAGUCGCAUUGCCUUCUCUUGGGGGAAUAGCUUUAGAAUAGCUUCUAAAAGAAAAAUAAAAGAAUUUAAAACACUACCUAUGCAAAACUGUAGUGAGUGGGUCUUAACGGUAUUUUUUAAAGUAUAUUUUCAUGGCUUACUUGUAAUAUAGUAGUUUUGGGGACACAAUAACUACCCACGCAUCAGAAGUUGCCCUUAUGACCAUUUCAGUGCAUAAGGUAUGGUGGUAGGAGAAUUGGCUUUGAAAUGAGACACACCUGGACUUGCAAUGUAGGUAAUAUUAAAAGCCUCCAAAGUGGUCUGCCUGCGUUUGCCCUUGCUAUUUAUAGACCAUUCUCAGCCAGCUGCAGAGAAGACCCUAAAUGAUGUCAGAUAAAGGUACCCUGCUCAAAACCCCCAGUGGCUCCUCAUCCAAAGAAGCCAAAAUCCUUACAAUGGCCUCCAAGGUCCUCUCCUUCUCUGCACACACUGACCCAACCCCCGAGUCUUUCUGACCUCUUUCCUGUCUUUUCUUCCUCUUCCCUCUGUUCCAGCCUAGCCUCCUUGCUGUUGCUCAAAGCCCACUCCCCCUCAGAGCUCUGCACUGCCUCUUCACUGCCUGUAGCACUUUCCCCUCUGAUACCCACAGGGCCCACCCCUCACCCUUUCAGGGCAUUUUUGAAGGUCACCUUUUUUAACGACUUCCUUUAAUCUGCAGAACAAGCUUCCUUUCAUCUUCUUUAAUUUUCUAUAGUACUUGCAUCUAUCACCACUAUCUUCUUAUUGCAUUUCAUUUCAUUUCAGUCGUAGAAGAGGAUUAAAAUCUUUACUCCUAGUCUAGUAUCUUAUUUUAAUUAUUUUUCUAAUUAAUACAGUAAAAAAAAAUUCAAACAGUUUAGGAGUUCCCGUCGUGGCGCAGCAGAAACUAAUCCGACUAGGAACCAUGAGGUUUUGGGUUUGAUCCCUGGCCUCGCUCAGUGAGUUAAGGAUCCAGCGUUGCCAUGAGCUGUGGAGUAGGUCACAGACGCAGCUCGAAUCCGGAGUUGCUGUGGCUCUGGCGUAGGCUGGCAGGUAUAGCUCCAAUUGGACCCCUAGCCUGGGAAUCUCCAUAUGCUGCAAGUGUGGCCCUGAAAAGACAAA